AAAUCAAGAAAAUAAUAUUGGCACGUAGGUUGAUAAAUGAUCUAUAACUUUGUUGAAGAAACCACCUCUGUUUGGAUUAAGAAUCGAAAGAUAGAAAAUGGAAAGAACCUUGGAAAAACUAAUCGGAAAACCUUGAUUUUCUGGUAGGAGGAGAGAGAAGCCGCCGGCGUGCCACGUGUCAACCAACCAGAGGACCGCGAGCGCCAAUCACCCCCGGACACGCGUCGAGCGCCGCCUGGGAAAACGCGGCUCCAGCCUCCUUGCGGCACGCGUCCCUGACAACGCCACCCGAUACCCGCGCCCGUCAGCCUACCCGAUACCCGCGCGGCGAGCCAAACCGAACCGACAACCCGCGGUCCACCCGAGCCACUGCGUUCGAACCGAACCCGCGACCCGCGACUGCAGGAAAUUCUAGGCGCGUGACACUCGCACGUGGAACCCGCGAGUGGUUGCUCCCCGGCGCGUGGCUGGCGCGUGGAAGCGCGUGACCAAAUUGAAGGAAAAUCACCGCCUUUCGAUACGUUAAGUGGGUGGAAACGCUGCUUAAGGACACGCGCCAUCCAGGUACGUGAGGCGUCG